GUAGACAUGCCAAUCACAAGUUCACAAGCGCCCUGCAAAACCACUCCUAAAGGAUGGCUGCCUGUAGGUUGAUGUUGGUGUUGGUGGCGGUGGCGGUAGUGGCCGUCGCGUUGGCGGGAGGUUCGGAGGCGAUAACGCUGUGCAAGAUGAGCGAUGAUCAGCUCACGGCUUGCAAGCCGGCGGUGACGAAGCCGGACCCGGCGGAGCCGACGAAGGAGUGCUGCGAAGGGCUCUCGGGGGCGGACCUGAGCUGCCUCUGCUCGUACAAGAACUCGGCCAUAUUGCCGGCUCUGGGGAUCGAUCCCGAUCUCGCGAUGGGGUUGCCUGCUAAGUGCGGUCUCACUCCUCCCGCCAAUUGCUAAGGUUACGCAAGGGAGUCUCGGGGGAGCCUCAAUGAGCUAUAAAUCUCGAGAUGGAUUGCAUAAAGCUCGUGUGGCUCAUCAUUUUCCGACGCUCUUAGUGGAUGCUGCUUCCGCUUUUAUCUGUAUUCUUAUUGUCUGUGUGCUUGCAACUGGGUUGUCCUGUUCGUUAGAAGAUUGAUAUCAUUAUCAUCUUUGCGCUCCCGCACUUCUUAUUGAAUCGACAGAGUUCGGGUCUCGAGUUAAUGGAAAACUUUCUUUAGAAUA